AUUGAACGCUGGCGGCAGGCCUAACACAUGCAAGUCGAGCGGAUGAAGGGAGCUUGCUCCUGGAUUCAGCGGCGGACGGGUGAGUAAUGCCUAGGAAUCUGCCUGGUAGUGGGGGACAACGUUUCGAAAGGAACGCUAAUACCGCAUACGUCCUACGGGAGAAAGCAGGGGACCUUCGGGCCUUGCGCUAUCAGAUGAGCCUGGGUCGGAUUAGCUAGUUGGUGAGGUAAUGGCUCACCAAGGCGACGAUCCGUAAGUGGUCUGAGAGGAUGAUCAGUCACACUGGAACUGAGACACGGUCCAGACUCCUACGGGAGGCAGCAGUGGGGAAUAUUGGACAAUGGGCGAAAGCCUGAUCCAGCCAUGCCGCGUGUGUGAAGAAGGUCUUCGGAUUGUAAAGCACUUUAAGUUGGGAGGAAGGGUUGUAGAUUAAUACUCUGCAAUUUUGACGUUACCGACAGAAUAAGCACCGGCUAACUCUGUGCCAGCCGCCGCCGUAAGAC
rnacentral:rRNA from 1 species